UUGGGUUUGAAUCCGCGCCGUGACAAAAGCCUUCCAAAGACGUUAAAAUAAUUACCAAAAUGCAGACAUUUUUAUUCAUGGGAAUAUGGAGAAGCUGUUGAUGUUUGACAGAGGACCUGGAACGGUGGCGAGGACGAGGACGAGGACAAGGAGGCAUGAUGAUGCGCCGAUUGUUCUUCCGAGAUGAUGCAGCAGAAACCUUGGAGACUGCGUGCAGCACCCUGUAUCCAGGUUCUUGCAGAAGGAGGAGCACUCAGCGACUCCACUGUGAACGCUUCUGGACACGCUCCCACACACGCAGCCGGUGGCAAUCUUCAAUCAACACAGCUGACAGGGAUUACGGACAACAGGAUAUAGAGCCUCGCCGCUGACUAAUCGACGUCGGAACGUCGCCCUGUUCGCAGUAAGUUUCACGUCUCUGACUUCCCACCGGUAUUAUAUCCUGUAGCUUGUUUCCUUGUGUCCUGGUCUGUUCAUCUCCGUCUCCCUUCUGCUCCCCAGUCUCGUGUCUCUGUGUUAACUUCCUUUUCCCCCUGGACUCGGAUUGCCCUCCUGAUAUUGACACUCUGCUUGGACCUUGGACGCUCUCUCCUGCAUCACGAACCCCUUUUUGGACAUCGGACUUCCCUGCCUCUUUCCUCUCGAUUUGGACGCUCUCAUUCAACACACUUGACAAC